GCAGAAGUGCCGAGUCCCGGCCGGGGGCAGCCUCGCCGCCGCUCAGCUCGGGAAUCCCUGCCCCCCACCAGCACCUCAGUGGGGGAUACUGCAAGUUCAAGCACCAGCCUCACAGUAACAGCCGGCACACAGCACUUAGGCUGCCUGGUGUUCCAGAAGCUUCUGCAGGGGCUCUAUGCUGCACUCAAGGCAUCCCUAAGAGGAGAGCAUUUUGCUGUCCCCACUUUACGGAGAAGGAACGUGGGCUCAGGGUGGUUUAAGGCGUGAAUGAAUGAAGGAGCAAGCAGUAAGCCCCGACAGCAAGGCCACCACAGCCCUCGCCCCACAGGGACGCCUGAGCAAGGACCCAAGCAGGGGACAAGCAGGCUCACCCCGCCCUUGCGGGGCUGACCACGAGGCCCCGUCCGGUGGAACACGCCAUGACGCUUCAGGAGGCUCAUGUAGCUGGCGCCGUAUGGGACAGCGGGGGAGAGAGAAAAUGCACAGCCCAGGGAAUGUGGAGACAGGCCCAGCGCCAGGCAUGGGGGCCGGAAGGAGCAGCCGGGGAGCAGGGGGCAGGGCCUGGAGUCCCGCCUUGCAGAUCUGAACCUGCCCCAGCCCCAGGACUCUGAGUGCAGCAAGAGGGGAGCCGGGCUGGAGAGUGGGGAGCACGGAGACUGUGGCCUGGAUGGUGCCAGAGCAAACAGGAGAGAGGCUGCCCAACGCAGAGGCUGCAGCACAGACCAGAGGGUCCCGGGGCUGACUGGGUGGGGGCAGCUCCCAGCGAGAGGCCCCUGGGAUUUGGGUAAGUAGAGGCACAUGCAGACUCUGGCCACAGGGCACCUCGCGCACGAGGGGAGUUCACCACACAAGCUGAGCGGAGGGCGGACGCAGGAGAGCAGCGGUUUCUCGGAAGCCAAGGGCGGUCAUGGAGCCCCACGCCACAGCGCUUCCCACGGGGCCACACCAUCCGGUCUGCGGAGGGGGCUGCAUUGCCGGGAAGGACCAUCUGAUUCUGGAUUCCAGCCUCACCCUGGGCCACCGCUGAGUGUCCCAAGUGGCCCCUUAGCCCCCAGGGCCAGGCGGCAUCCCAAUCCCCUAGGGAUGUCUGUGCUCAGAAUGUGGCACACACGCCCCGGCAGGGCCAUCCUCCUCCUCCUGCACCCGCCACAGCCGUGGAUUCGGGGUCUCUAUCGUGGGCAGAAAUUCACACAGUCAAGGUGAGGGUCCCAGGAGCAGCUGUGACCAGGCCCCGGCUGCCAGGGAGAGGGGGUCUUCAGCCGACGGGGCAGACACCCUGAGAUGGACCCUUGUCCAGGGGAGGGCCCUGCCACCCACAAUUCCUUGGCAUUCCUGCACCAGCAGGACGGGCUGAGGGAGGCGCCUCACCAGUGCCAGCGCCCAGCAUCACUGUGCCCCGGUGGAGGGGGAGGCCCUUCCGAGCCUGGGCCUGGGUGUGGAUGAGGGCAGGUCUCUCACCUCUCUGACCUCAGCUUCCUCAACUGGGAAGGGGGGCCACAGCACCCCCUUAGGGGUGAUGAGGAAGUGGGAGCUCAGGGAGGACCCCGGGCAGGGCUGCCUCCUCACCUCUCUUCGGCCUUUGGACACUGGAGCUCAGAGGACCAAGUGAAUGAAUGAAUGACUCGAUCAAUCAACUGAUCCAUGAAUCCAUGGACCCCUGAACAGCUGGACAGCUGGGCUGUGGGCAGGACAGGGGACUCUGGCUGAAGCCGCGUUCAUAUGUGUUCAGCUUUAGGCCUCCACUGUGCCCGGACCAGCGGCCCACUCAGUGAGUCGAGUGUGCACCUGGCACCCCUCUUUCUGGAAAUCCACGAACAAUGGGCUCCCAGCAGAGGACUGAGGCUGAGCAGGCCACUUCCCUGGAGCUGACCCCACAGCUGUCCUGCUCCUCCUUCGCCUUCUGCCAUGACUGUAAGCUUUCUGAGGGCUGACCAGAAGCCCAGCAGAUGCCAGCACCAUGCUUCCUAUACAGCCUGCAGAACCGUGAGCCAGCUAAACCUCUCCUCAUAAAUCACCGAGCCCCAGGUUUAUCUUUACAGCAAUGCAAGACCUGACUAAUACAGCACCAGCUCCCCAAAAUAAAAAGAAAUAUUCAAACAAAUAAGCGCACAGAAGUGUUCCCAGCAGCACUAUUCACAGCAGCCAAAAGGCGGAGGAGCCACAGGCUUGUCAGCUGAUGACAGAUAAAGAAAGCAUGGCCUGUCAUCCCAGCACUUUGGGAGGCCGAGGUGGGUGGAUCACCUGAGGUUGGGAGUUCAAGACCAGCCUGGCCAACAUGGUGAAACCCAGUCUCUACUAAAAA
rnacentral:lncRNA from 1 species